AGUGAACGCUGGCGGUAGGCCUAACACAUGCAAGUCGAACGGCAGCACAGUAAGAGCUUGCUCUUACGGGUGGCGAGUGGCGGACGGGUGAGGAAUACAUCGUAAUCUACUUUUUCGUGGGGGAUAACGUAGGGAAACUUACGCUAAUACCGCAGACGACCUACGGGUGAAAGCAGGGGAUCUUCGGACCUUGCGCGAUUGAAUGAGCCGAUGUCGGAUUAGCUAGUUGGCGGGGUAAAGGCCCACCAAGUCGACGAUCCGUAGCUGGCCUGAGAGGAUGAUAGGCCACACUGGAACUGAGACACGGUCAAGGGUCCUACGGGAGGCAGCAGUGGGGAAUAUUGGGCAGUGGGCGCAAGCCUGAUCCAGCCAUACCGCGUGGGUGAAGAAGGCCUUCGGGUUGUAAAGCCGUUUUGUUGGGAGAGAAAAGCAGCAGGUUAAUACCACGCUGUUCUGACGGUACCCAAAGAAUAAGCACCGGCUAACUUCGUG
rnacentral:rRNA from 1 species